rnacentral:lncRNA from 1 species
CAAAAACUUAGGAAAAAUCAUAUUUUUAACUCGGAUAACAAACUUAAAUAUAAUUUUAAAUUCCAAAAAUAAAAAAUUUCAACCUAAUUUAUUCUAAUUCUGCUGGAAAAAUAAUUAGUAAAAAUAUUUAUUCUAUCAUACUUUCUCAUGUGUCGUUCUUUAAACUUUCGAAUCAUAUUUACUAAACAAUGUUAUGCUCAGCAGCUAAGGGGGCGUUUGGAUUGACGAAUCUGUAGAUCUACGUAAGUCAAGUAUAGUAGUGUUUGAGUUUUUCCGAAGUAUGAUUAUUUUUCUGUUGUUUGUUUUGAUAUAACUCGUACAGUCUGAAAGUUAAAUUCAAGUAUUUCUUCUGUUUGUUUUGAUAUAAUUUGGUACUGGUAAAAUUAAUUUUUUGAGUUUCGUUGUUUGUUUUGAUGUAAGUAAGUGGAUUCCGUUAUCUCCUAAAUAUAGUAAUAAAUUUAUCACUAUAAAAUUUAACCUAUUAUAUAAUUAAAUAUUUUAUAUAAUGUAACUUGACUUACAUUAUAUUUGCACUUAUACUAAAAUAAAUAACGAAAAUGAUGGAACUUGAGUUCCAUCACUCCACUUACAUCAAAACAAAC